rnacentral:rRNA from 1 species
UACGUAGGGUGCAAGCGUUGUCCGGAAUUAUUGGGCGUAAAGAGCUCGUAGGCGGUUUGUUGCGUCGGCUGUGAAAUCCCGAGGCUCAACCUCGGGUCUGCAGUCGAUACGAGCAAACUAGAGUGUUGCAGGGGAGACUGGGAAUUCCUGGUGUAGCGGUGAAAUGCGCAGAUAUCAGGAGGAACACCGAUGGCGAAGGCAGGUCUCUGGGCCACUACUGACGCUGAGAAGCGAAAGCAUGGGGAGCGAACAGG